GGGGCUGAUCGGUUUCGACGGUGUGCGUCGGGACAGGAGAAGCGGGCCGAGGAUGCGUGGUUAUCUCGUAAACGCUCCACGUAAACCAAUAGGUGCCAAAUCUAACCGCACCGGCUACGCCCUCGCUGCCUAAGCGAGCGGCUGCCCGUCAGCCUGGGGUUGGUUCCGCCCCAGUCACUGGCGUCGACUAGGAACCCACUGCUCAUGAGCCGCGUUACCCGGCUCACGGGGACUCUCAGGUAACUGAGCCUGGCGGCGUGUUGCUUGCCGCAGCGCCGGGGCUGAGAACACCGCAGGCAAGCUGCGCCCGGAGAAGACCUGGUUCACGGAUGCCGGACGGGGGUUCAAUUCCCCCCAGCUCCACAC
rnacentral:tmRNA from 1 species